rnacentral:rRNA from 1 species
UACGAAGGGUGCAAGCGUUACUCGGAAUUACUGGGCGUAAAGCGUGCGUAGGUGGUGAGUUAAGUCUGUCGUGAAAGCCCCGGGCUCAACCUGGGAAUGGCGGUGGAUACUGAGGAGCUAGAGUGCGGUAGAGGAGGGUGGAAUUCCCGGUGUAGCGGUGAAAUGCGUAGAGAUCGGGAGGAACAUCAGUGGCGAAGGCGGCCCUCUGGACCAGCACUGACGCUGAGGCACGAAAGCGUGGGGAGCAAACAGG